GACGAACGCUGGCGGCGUGCUUAACACAUGCAAGUCGAACGCUGAAGCUCAGCUUUUGUUGGGUGGAUGAGUGGCGAACGGGUGAGUAACACGUGAGUAACCUGCCCCCUUCUUUGGGAUAACGCCCGGAAACGGGUGCUAAUACUGGAUAUUCACUGGUCUUCGCAUGGGGGUUGGUGGAAAGGGUUUUUCUGGUGGGGGAUGGGCUCGCGGCCUAUCAGCUUGUUGGUGGGGUGAUGGCCUACCAAGGCUUUGACGGGUAGCCGGCCUGAGAGGGUGACCGGUCACAUUGGGACUGAGAUACGGCCCAGACUCCUACGGGAGGCAGCAGUGGGGAAUAUUGCACAAUGGGCGCAAGCCUGAUGCAGCGACGCCGUGUGAGGGAUGGAGGCCUUCGGGUUGUGAACCUCUUUCGCUCAUGGUCAAGCCGCAACAAUGGUUGUGGUGAGGGUAGUGGGUAAAGAAGCGCCGGCUAACUACGUG
rnacentral:rRNA from 1 species